ensembl:lncRNA STARD7-AS1 STARD7 antisense RNA 1
AGGCGGCCAGCAGCCUCCGCGGGAGCAUGCCGCCUCCCGCAGGGCCCGCCGCGAGCUUCCGGGGCCCAAGGAACCAGUCCGGAGGGGCGCAGGCGGUGGUCGCAGCGUCCCCCUAAAUGGCCGGCCACGAACCCGUCUCACGGUCCCGCGGCCAGGAGCCGCCGCUCAUCUGUCUCUGCAGCCACCGCUGAGGAAGAGUCUCCUCUGAGGGGAGAGUCGGUCAUGGCAGCAGACGCCGGGAUGGCUCCGCGACUGCUACACCAGGCACUCCUGGGCCCGGGCAGCAGACCAGUCAGCCCUGUGGCUCCUCGGCGACCUCCAGCGGGCGCCCGGGGCCGGGAUGCAGGGCGCGCGGACAGAAACGAGACAGACAGCUCAGGCCCAGCAGCACGCAAGCUCCCGCGCCUUCCGCGACUGCCACACGCGCGGCGCGCGCGCACCCUACUUUUUCUCCGCCACCUGGGCCGUGAUUGGGCGCGACCUGGGCUCCUGGGUGCUCAUUGGCGCCGUGAAGUGCUCGUCACCGCCCCCUCCUGCCCCUUCAUGCAUGCGCGGAGGCCGCCUGCUAGCAAGGAGGGGGCUGUAUGUGGAAUUGCAAGGCCAAAGACAUCUCGGGUCAACUCUUCUCAGGACCAGAUCCAAGUCGCCAGUGAGAACACACAUUCAGGCAGCCUCCACCAGCGCCCUGCCUCAGGAGCGAGGCUCCCUGCUUCAUGUGGGCAAGAGCUGCCCUUGUUUUCCCAGCGGGCAGUUGGGGGUCUGGAGCCUAGGAAGCAAAGUGAAGCACACACUCCUGCUUCCUUCCUUCCCUGCAGUUGAGACGGGAGUCUUACUUUGUUGCCCAGGCUGGUCUCAAACUCCUGGCUUCAAGCAAUCCUUCCACUUUGGCCUUCCAAAGUGCUGGGAUUACAGGCAUGAGCCACCAUGCCCAGCCUCCUUCUCUUACUAGCUGAGAACUAAGAGAAGACACUCUGGAGACAGAGGAGGAAACAGUGACGAUGCCACAUGAUGAAUACAUAAUGGAGGGUGAAGACAAGGCUCCGUCAGGGGCACCAAGGAGGGAAACCCAGUUCUGUGGGGAAGGUAUGGGGCAGCUUCACAAGCCCAGUGUCUGCUCCCUUUGUGGGAGACGUGUUGUUUCAGCAUCCAUUCCCCCUUCUUUUAGGAAAAGUGCUUGAAUUUCCUUUUCAUGGAACCACCCACCUCCCUCUCAUCCAUGCAUUCUAUUCCCAGUAUCAGGGGUAGACAAGUGACUUCAGGCUUGGCCAAUUAGGGUUCUGACUCUUGGUCAAAUCAGAGUGAAUCCUGAGUCAUUUGUAAACUCCAAGGAAAGGGCUUGCUUUGUUUUCUGUUGAAUGCAGUGCUCUGAGAUAGCCGGAAAUGAAACUGCUCUCUUGCCACACUGAAGGCUAGAGAAGGGCCUGGCCAGGAAAUGAUGCCAGUGAUCAGGGGUGGAGCUGGAAGAGGGGGAGUGAGGAGGCCCAGACAUCUUGGGAGCCCCAAAUUCACCUCAGGAUUUAACUUCUCCGCUGCUCAGCCAAUAAAUUCCUUUCUUCCAUGACUAA